rnacentral:lncRNA from 1 species
GGGAACUUGUGCUUAAAGAGUGAGUUAGGAGCAGGGUGUCUACAUAAACUGUUUGGAAUUUUCUGCACAAAAGAGGGGGGAAAGAAGACUAACCUCCAGGGUGAACCCCAAGCUGCUGCAGGACGGGGUCAGUGGUGUGGACUCUGGAGCUCGGCCCUUCUCUAGAGAGACUGAGAGCAGGUGCCUCGACUGUUCCGAGCCUCAGCUGGUUCAUUCCUGUAGAACAGCGGUGCUGGCGCACAGUGAGUACCCAGAGCCUCCUCUGCACCUCUCUUGACCAAGAGAAUAAGACGUCUUCCCCUCUUUGGUAAUGUUAUAAAAUGGAAACCCGCCAGUCAAUUUUAGCCUUUUUAUAACCUCUGACCA